UCCUCGCGAGUGUGCCGGAAGCACGACGGUCUUCUAAACCGUCAGACGAGGUUCGAUUCCUCGGCGAGGAA
rnacentral:tRNA from 1 species